AUUGAACGCUGGCGGCAUGCCUUACACAUGCAAGUCGAACGGCAGCACGGACUUCGGUCUGGUGGCGAGUGGCGAACGGGUGAGUAAUGUAUCGGAACGUACCUUUCAGUGGGGGAUAACGUAGCGAAAGUUACGCUAAUACCGCAUAUUCUGUGAGCAGGAAAGCAGGGGAUCGAAAGACCUUGCGCUGAUUGAGCGGCCGAUAUCAGAUUAGCUAGUUGGUGGGGUAAAGGCCUACCAAGGCGACGAUCUGUAGCGGGUCUGAGAGGAUGAUCCGCCACACUGGAACUGAGACACGGUCCAGACUCCUACGGGAGGCAGCAGUGGGGAAUUUUGGACAAUGGGGGCAACCCUGAUCCGGCCAUGCCGCGUGAGUGAAGAAGGCCUUCGGGUUGUAAAGCUCUUUCGGCCGGGAAGAAAUCGCAUAGGCUAAUACCCUGUGUGGAUGACGGUACCGGAAUAAGAAGCACCGGCUAACUACGUG
rnacentral:rRNA from 1 species